GGUUAAAAAGCUCGUAGUUGGAUUUCUGCCGAGGACGACCGGUCCGCCCUCUGGGUGAGCAUCUGGUUCGGCCUGGGCAUCUUCUUGGAGAACGUUGCUGCACUUGACUGUGUGGAGCGGUAUCCAGGACUUUUACUUUGAGGAAAUUAGAGUGUUUCAAGCAGGCACACGCCUUGAAUACAUUAGCAUGGAAUAAUAAGAUAGGACCUCGGUUCUAUUUUGUUGGUUUCUAGAGCAGAGGUAAUGAUUAAUAGGGAUAGUUGGGGGCAUUCGUAUUUAACUGUCGGAGGUGAAAUUCUUGGAUUUGUUAAAGACGGGCUACUGCGAAAGCAUUUGCCAAGGAUGUUUUCAUUGAUCAAGAACGAAAGUUAGGGGAUCGAAGACGAUCAGAUACCGUCCUAGUCUUAACCAUAAACCAUGCCGACUAGAGAUUGGAGGUCGUUAUCUAUACGACUCCUUCAGCACCUUAUGAGAGAUCAAAGUCUUUGGGUUCCGGGGGGAGUAUGGUCGCAAGGCUGAAACUUAAAGGAAUUGACGGAAGGGCACCACCAGGAGUGGAGCCUGCGGCUUAAUUUGACUCAACACGGGGAAACUUACCAGGUCCAGACAUAGUAAGGAUUGACAGAUUGAUAGCUCU
rnacentral:rRNA from 1 species